rnacentral:snRNA from 1 species
AAAAGAUAAAUGCACUUUGGUGA